rnacentral:lncRNA from 1 species
GCCGUGGCAGACAUGUGGGGUAGUGAACUCCAUAAGUAGAAAAAUGAACAGUCUUUUUUUUUUUCACUGGAAGGAUUUGUCAUUAUUAAAACCCAAGUAAAACAUUGAAAAAGCCCAACCGGGCAAGAGAGAAAAUUUACAAAUGGCCCAACAGGCCCAACAAAAGAAAACCCUAGGGAAGAACGCGGCCGAUUCGGACACCACGCGUUAACAUUUGGCGUGGUCUGGACACGUGUCCACCAUGCGAGUCACCACCGAUCUCAGCCGGCAGAACGAUUUCGGUAAGGUUCUAAUCGGCGAUCCACUGGAAACACACCGGAACAGGAACCCGUUCAAAGAACCUCGACGGAAACAAUAUCAGAAUUGAAGGCGCUUGAAACUUGAGCGUGAAAUCUAUCCAUGACCUCACGAGCCAAAGGAUCCUUCUUCUUUGAUGAAGUUCCAAUCGAGAGACAACGAACUCAAACCAACGAGAUUCGAACCGAUUGAAACAAAAAGCUUGAAGAAGAAGAGAUCAGACAACCGGGAUAAACGAAAAAUGGUCAACCAGAACCAUCUUUUACGCUUGAUCGAGUCAAACACAGACUCACGUUUCCAAUAAAAUCAAGGGAAAUUUGGCUG